rnacentral:rRNA from 1 species
CAAAUAUGAAGCGGGCUGGAACCUCUCGGGGUUACAGCCUUGCUGAAUUAUUCACCCUUGUCUUUUGCGUACUUCUUGUUUCCUUGGUGGGUUCGCCCACCACAAGGACAAACAUAAACCUUUUGUAAUUGCAAUCAGCGUCAGUAACAAAUUAAUAAUUACAACUUUCAACAACGGAUCUCUUGGUUCUGGCAUCGAUGAAGAACGCAGCGAAAUGCGAUAAGUAGUGUGAAUUGCAGAAUUCAGUGAAUCAUCGAAUCUUUGAACGCACAUUGCGCCCUUUGGUAUUCCAAAGGGCAUGCCUGUUCGAGCGUCAUUUGUACCCUUCAAGCUUUGCUUGGUGUUGGGCGUCUUGUCUCUAGCUUUGCUGGAGACUCGCCUUAAAGUAAUUGGCAGCCGGCCUACUGGUUUCGGAGCGCAGCACAAGUCGCACUCUCUAUCAGCAAAGGUCUAGCUAUCUCAUUAAGCCUUUUUUUCAACUUUUGACCUCGGAUCAGGUAGGGAUACCCGCUGACU